UAUUCUAUAGGGUUAGUAAAACCAGUGACAAGUUUUCAAAACCAAAGUCUACCCACACAUAUAACUAUGUACAUAAAUGUACAUGACGACGUUAUGUGUAAGGUUAGUGUUGAAAGGAGAGCCUAAUAUUCCUACGUUGCGGCAACCCAAGAGUUUGUUGCCUACAAACCCCAUGACGUUAUCAGAGGGACACUAAUUAGGGAAUCAUUUUCUGACGUGUAUCGCGUUAGAUCUGACGAUCGGUUCCUUGUGGGAAGCAAGGUGAAGCAAGGUUUUACGCCGUUGUAGCAAGAUUCCACCAAUAUCACGGCGGGGGACACCAAAAAUGGGCUUCACACAUUGUGCCCAUGUGAGGAAUCGAACCCAGGUCUUCGGCAUGAGGAAUCGAACCC